rnacentral:piRNA from 1 species
UGAACAGACGUGAAAUGAGAUUUAGUCACU